AGUGAACGCUGGCGGUAGGCCUAACACAUGCAAGUCGAACGGCAGCACAGUAAGAGCUUGCUCUUACGGGUGGCGAGUGGCGGACGGGUGAGGAAUACAUCGGAAUCUACUUUUUCGUGGGGGAUAACGUAGGGAAACUUACGCUAAUACCGCAUACGACCUACGGGUGAAAGCAGGGGAUCUUCGGACCUUGCGCGAUUGAAUGAGCCGAGGUCGGAUUAGCUAGUUGGCGGGGUAAAGGCCCACCAAGGCGACGAUCCGUAGCUGGUCUGAGAGGAUGAUCAGCCACACUGGAACUGAGACACGGUCCAGACUCCUACGGGAGGCAGCAGUGGGGAAUAUUGGACAAUGGGCGCAAGCCUGAUCCAGCCAUACCGCGUGAGUGAAGAAGGCCUUCGGGUUGUAAAGCCCUUUUGUUGGGAAAGAAAAGCAGCAGGUUAAUACCCCGCUGUUCUGACGGUACCCAAAGAAUAAGCACCGGCUAACUUCGUG
rnacentral:rRNA from 1 species